CUUGUACCCGAACUACGCGGGUUUGAUUCUCACCGGAUGUGAGAUACGUAGGCAACCCUCAUCGGGUCCAACCCCACCUUUUGCUAAAAUAGCCAAAAAUCAAAAAAUUUAAUCUUGUUAUAAAUAAGUCGGGUGAUGUCCAAACCACCUUUUGCUAAAAUAGCCAAAAAUCAAAAAAAAAUUUAUAAAUAAGUCGGGUGAUGUCCUACCCACCUUUUGCUAAAAAGCCAAAAACAAAUAAAUAAUAAUAAAAGAAUAAUAUGUCAAAUUUUAAUUUUGUCAUAAAGAAGUCGGGUGACGCUGUUUUAUCAAGACAUAGCCGAAUGUUCCCGAAAGGGACGCCGGAAGGCUGACUUUGCGUAAACAACCACCUUUUGGUCAUGUCUAGGAGUUUGGUCCAGUUGACCCACACAGCCUUAAAAAGCUUCGUCCCCGAGACGUCGAAAGGCCGUGUUUGCAACACAAGGUUUUUAUCAUAAUUUGAAAAAAACA
rnacentral:lncRNA from 1 species